rnacentral:rRNA from 1 species
CUUUUAAAAGACCUAGUAAUAGGUAUGCUUUAGGAGGGGCUUGCGCCAUAUUAGUUAGUUGGUAGGGUAAUGGCCUACCAAGACGAUGAUGUGUAGCUGGACUGAGAGGUUGAACAGCCACAUUGGGACUGAGACACGGCCCAAACUCCUACGGGAGGCAGCAGUAGGGAAUUUUCGGCAAUGGAGGAAACUCUGACCGAGCAACGCCGCGUGAAUGACGAAGUACUUCGGUAUGUAAAGUUCUUUUAUCAAGGAAGAAAAGCAAAUGGCGAACCAUUUGUUUGCCGGUACUUGAUGAAUAAGCCCCGGCUAAUUAUGUGCCAGCAGCCGCGGUAAGACAUAAGGGGCAAGUGUUAUCCGGAAUUAUUGGGCGUAAAGGGUGCGUAGGCGGUCUAGUAAGUCAGUGGUGUAAUGGCAACGCUUAACGUUGUCCGGCUAUUGAAACUGCUAAACUUGAGUUAGAUAGAGGCGAGUGGAAUUCCAUGUGUAGCGGUAAAAUGCGUAAAUAUAUGGAGGAACACCAGAGGCGUAGGCGGCUCGCUGGGUCUUAACUGACGCUGAGGCACGAAAGCGUGGGGAGCAAACAGGAUUAGAUACCCUGGUAGUCCACGCCGUAAACGAUGAGUACUAAGUGUCGGGUUAAACCGGUACUGAAGUUAACACAUUAAGUACUCCGCCUGAGUAGUACGUACGCAAGUAUGAAACUUAAAGGAAUUGACGGGACUCCGCACAAGCGGUGGAUCAUGUUGUUUAAUUCGAAGAUACCCGAAAAACCUUACCAGGUCUUGACAUGUUUUUGCAAAAUGAUAGUAAUAUCGUGGAGGUUACCAGAAACACAGGUGGUGCAUGGUUGUCGUCAGCUCGUGUCGUGAGAUGUUAGGUUAAGUCCUAAAACGAGCGAAACCCUUAUCGUUAGUUGCCAGCACGUUAUGGUGGGGACUUUAACGAGACUGCCAAUGAUAAAUUGGAGGAAGGUGAGGAUCACGUCAAAUCAGCAUGCCCCUUAUGACCUGGGCUACAAACGUGAUACAAUGGCUGUUACAAAGGGUAGCUGAAACGCAAGUUCUUGGCCAAUCCCCAAAAACAGUCCCAGUCCGGAUUGAAGUCUGCAACUCGACUUCA